UUUUCGGGUAGUUUUUAGUUAGCGUUUUUGGGGAGAUAGCUAGGGGUGCUGGAUAGUCUUUGUAGCCAGUAGCCAAGGUGGGUUUCCUGUGUGUUUCUUGUGUGUGUGUUUUGUUUGCAGGUUCGAGCUUGACCAACGGGUCUUAAACGGAGACUCGGGGCAUAGUUAAUCGAUUUUCUGCAGGGCCCCGGGGAAAGUGUGUGCUGCAUGCAUACAUGUUGUGUGAUUGAUUGGUUG
rnacentral:lncRNA from 1 species